rnacentral:rRNA from 1 species
UUCGCCCUUAGAGUUUGAUCCUGGCUCAGGACGAACGCUGGCGGCGUGCUUAACACAUGCAAGUCGAGCGGAGACUUUACUGUAUUUAUAUGGUAAUUUCUUAGCGGCGGACGGGUGAGUAACACGUGGGUAACCUGCCUCGAAGUGAGGAAUAGCCUUCCGAAAGGGAGAUUAAUACCUCAUAAUAUUAAUUUUUCGCAUGAAAGAUUAAUUAAAGGAUUUAUUCGCUUCGAGAUGGACCCGCGGCGCAUUAGUUAGUUGGUGAGGUAAUGGCUCACCAAGACAAUGAUGCGUAGCCGACCUGAGAGGGUGAUCGGCCACAUUGGAACUGAGAUACGGUCCAAACUCCUACGGGAGGCAGCAGUGGGGAAUAUUGUACAAUGGGCGAAAGCCUGAUGCAGCAACGCCGCGUGAGUGAUGAAGGCUUUCGAGUCGUAAAGCUCUUUGAUCAGGGACGAUAAUGACGGUACCUGAAGAACAAGCCACGGCUAACUACGUGCCAGCAGCCGCGGUAAUACGUAGGUGGCGAGCGUUGUCCGGAAUUAUUGGGCGUAAAGGAUGCGUAGGUGGAUGUUUAAGUGGGAUGUGAAAUCCCUGGGCUCAACCCAGGAAUUGCAUUCCAAACUGGAUAUCUUGAGUAUAGUAGAGGAAAGCAGAAUUCCUAGUGUAGAGGUGAAAUUCGUAGAUAUUAGGAGGAAUACCAGUGGCGAAGGCGGCUUUCUGGACUAUAACUGACACUGAGGCAUGAAAGCGUGGGUAGCAAACGAAAUUAGAUACCUGGUAGUCCACGCCGUAAACGAGGGUACUAGGUGUAGGAGGUAUCGACCCCUUCUGUGCCGUCGUUAACACAAUAAGUACCCCGCCUGGGGAGUACGGUCGCAAGACUAAAACUCAAAGGAAUUGACGGGGGCCCGCACAAGCAGCGGAGCAUGUGGUNUAAUUCGAAGCAACGCGAAGAACCUUACCUAGACUUGACAUCUCCUGAAUUACCCGUAACUGGGGAAGCUCUUCGGAGCAGGAAGACAGGUGGUGCAUGGUUGUCGUCAGCUCGUGUCGUGAGAUGUUGGGUUAAGUCCCGUAACGAGCGCAACCCUUAUUUUUAGUUGCUACCAUUAAGUUGAGCACUCUAAAGAGACUGCCCGGGUUAACCGGGAGGAAGGUGGGGAUGACGUCAAAUCAUCAUGCCCCUUAUGUCUAGGGCAACACACGUGCUACAAUGGUGAGAACAAAGAGACGCAAAAUCGCAAGGUCAAGCAAAUCUCAUAAAACUCAUCCCAGUUCGGAUUGCAGGCUGAAACUCGCCUGCAUGAAGUCGGAGUUGCUAGUAAUCGCGAAUCAGAAUGUCGCGGUGAAUACGAUCCCGGGCCUUGUACACACCGCCCG